rnacentral:rRNA from 1 species
CGCGCGAUACAGGGUGACAGCCCCGUACACAAAAGCGCAUGUGUUGUGAGCUCGAUGAGUAGGGCGGGACACGUGGUAUCCUGUCUGAAUAUGGGGGGACCAUCCUCCAAGGCUAAAUACUCCUGACUGACCGAUAGUGAACCAGUACCGUGAGGGAAAGGCGAAAAGAACCCCGGCGAGGGGAGUGAAAAAGAACCUGAAACCGUGUACGUACAAGCAGUGGGAGCACCCUUCGGGGUGUGACUGCGUACCUUUUGUAUAAUGGGUCAGCGACUUAUAUUCUGUAGCAAGGUUAACCGAAUAGGGGAGCCGGAGGGAAACCGAGUCUUAAUUGGGCGUUAAGUUGCAGGGUAUAGACCCGAAACCCGGUGAUCUAGCCAUGGGCAGGUUGAAGGUUGGGUAACACUAACUGGAGGACCGAACCGACUAAUGUUGAAAAAUUAGCGGAUGACCUGUGGCUGGGGGUGAAAGGCCAAUCAAACCGGGAGAUAGCUGGUUCUCCCCGAAAGCUAUUUAGGUAGCGCCUCGUGAAUUCAUCUCCGGGGGUAGAGCACUGUUUCGGCUAGGGGGCCAUCCCGGCUUACCAACCCGAUGCAAACUGCGAAUACCGGAGAAUGUUAUCACGGGAGACACACGGCGGGUGCUAACGUCCGUCGUGAAGAGGGAAACAACCCAGACCGCCAGCUAAGGUCCCAAAGUCAUGGUUAAGUGGGAAACGAUGUGGGAAGGCCCAGACAGCCAGGAUGUUGGCUUAGAAGCAGCCAUCAUUUAAAGAAAGCGUAAUAGCUCACUGGUCGAGUCGGCCUGCGCGGAAGAUGUAACGGGGCUAAACCAUGCACCGAAGCUGCGGCAGCGACACUGUGUGUUGUUGGGUAGGGGAGCGUUCUGUAAGCCUGUGAAGGUGUGUCGUGAGGCAUGCUGGAGGUAUCAGAAGUGCGAAUGCUGACAUAAGUAACGAUAAAGCGGGUGAAAAGCCCGCUCGCCGGAAGACCAAGGGUUCCUGUCCAACGUUAAUCGGGGCAGGGUGAGUCGACCCCUAAGGCGAGGCCGAAAGGCGUAGUCGAUGGGAAACGGGUUAAUAUUCCCGUACUUGGUGUUACUGCGAAGGGGGGACGGAGAAGGCUAUGUUGGCCGGGCGACGGUUGUCCCGGUUUAAGCGUGUAGGUGUGUGUUCCAGGUAAAUCCGGUUCACUUUAACACUGAGGCGUGACGACGAGGCACUACGGUGCUGAAGCAACAAAUGCCCUGCUUCCAGGAAAAGCCUCUAAGCAUCAGGUAACAUCAAAUCGUACCCCAAACCGACACAGGUGGUCAGGUAGAGAAUACCAAGGCGCUUGAGAGAACUCGGGUGAAGGAACUAGGCAAAAUGGUGCCGUAACUUCGGGAGAAGGCACGCUGACACGUAGGUGAAGUGAUUUACUCAUGGAGCUGAAGUCAGUCGAAGAUACCAGCUGGCUGCAACUGUUUAUUAAAAACACAGCACUGUGCAAACACGAAAGUGGACGUAUACGGUGUGACGCCUGCCCGGUGCCGGAAGGUUAAUUGAUGGGGUCAGCGCAAGCGAAGCUCCUGAUCGAAGCCCCGGUAAACGGCGGCCGUAACUAUAACGGUCCUAAGGUAGCGAAAUUCCUUGUCGGGUAAGUUCCGACCUGCACGAAUGGCGUAAUGAUGGCCAGGCUGUCUCCACCCGAGACUCAGUGAAAUUGAACUCGCUGUGAAGAUGCAGUGUACCCGCGGCAAGACGGAAAGACCCCGUGAACCUUUACUAUAGCUUGACACUGAACAUUGAGCCUUGAUGUGUAGGAUAGGUGGGAGGCUUUGAA